GCAUAGUACUGAUCUAAACAAACAAAAGGGAACUAAAUUAAUUAGAUAAUUAAAUAUUGCAAAUAUAUAAGUGAAAGAUAAAGAGAAAUAUGAUGAUGACUCGAGUGGAAGUGUUCGAAAAAAGAUGAGAAUGAUUAUUGGAAUGCCCAAAAAGAAAAAGGAAAAAAAAAAGGAAAGGAAUACGAAACAUCUGCUUUUGUCGAAAGAGCGCAACGAACCACGACACAUACUGGGCCUACGUGGUAUUUAUUAACAUGGGUGGGACGAAGAGGGCAUCGCAAGUGAAGGGCCUGUAGAGAGGGAAGAGAGAGGGGUCGAUGCUGCCAAACGAAUGGAACGCCGGAAUGAAGGGGGCCGAUAUAGCGAGGAGCCAACGGCGGCAGCUGCCGGCCGGUAAAACGAGAAACAGAAAUGGGGAGCCACCGGUUGCCGGCUGUACGAACACGGCAGGCUUCUCCACGCGCACGCCACGCGACAUCGAUGGCCGGCCUCCGGUUCGCUCGUGCGGAAGAUGUAAAAGAGGAAGGGAAGAAUACUCAAAGAAAGGAAGCAACUUCAUUAUACUCGUAAUCUUUUGUACCCGCAGGUAAAACACACGAGGAUAUUUUUGAACUAAAAGAAAAAUAAUAUUUUAACGAUCGAGUUACAUAAAAAAAAAUAAAUCAUAAAUUUUACAUAAUAUUUAAAUAUAUUCUAUAAUAAUAUAAAUAAUAAAUAUAUCCAAUAUAUAAAAUUUCAUAUUUAACGAAAUACGUAUAUUAAAAAAGCAGACAAAUUGCUCGUUAAAUUGAGUUAAAUUCUCUACUUAAGGUAGACGAUGGACAACUGUUCUUUUUCAUAAAAAAAAAUUGUGAUGCGAUGUAUGUAUAUAAUUUCUUGUACUUAAAAGGUUUCAUUAAUAUUACCGUUACAAAAUUCUUCUUUUACAUGUUUGAACAAUUGGUAAUACGAUAUCAAAUGUAAACGUAGAACGUAAGUAGUAAGAGAGAAGAAGAAGGGUGUUAUAACCGAGGCACGCGCUUCAAGGGUUCGAUGAAAGAAAAUGAGAAGAGAAAAAAGAAUGGUGCGUGCUUGUGCAUUAUAACUACCAACUCGGUCGGUCCAUAUACGUAUGUUAGUGUACAUAUAUAUAUAUAUAUAUGGAUAUUAUAUAUAUAUAUAUAUAUAUAUAUAUAUGAUUUAAGUUGUAUAUAUGUGUGAAUGAACGGCAUACCCGAUAUGCUAAACACGAAUCCUUCUGCCACGCGCCGUGUGCUUGCUCAACUGUAGGAGAUCCCUACUACCUACAGCCCAAUGGCACACGACAGACUGCAAAUGCAUCUCUCAGGCAUCUUUAGGAACAUUGAUACCCUUAUAAAAUGCGUUUCGCACAGGGCGGGUUCGUUCGCUAUACAAAUCAACAUCUUUCUCGAUUGUCAGCUGGUAAGCAAGUUUUCACAAAAACGUUUCUUUUUUUUUCUUUUUCUACCUGCUCAAAAUAGUUCACAUUUUUCACAUUUUUUCCUCAAAAAAAAAAAAAAAAAAAUAAAAGAAAAAAGAAAAUACUACAUCUACGAUCAAUCGAUUGAUAUAUCGAAAUUAUAAUCUCUUUUAAUUUAAUCAUCCCUUAAAGACAUUUUAUUAAAUUUGUUUUACAAUUUUACUACAGAUUGUUGUUGGUAAAUCUCUGUUUCUUGUUUAUAUUUUUUUUUUAGUGGAGAGGGACGAGGCGGGGUGAUGGCAGGGGCCUGGAAGGGAAGAGUGUUUUCAUUUUGUUUUUUUUUAUAUAUAUAUAUCUAUAUUGUUUUUCUUUCUUUUCUUUUUUCUUCUUCUUUUUCUUCUUCUUAUUUUUUACAUAUAAGUUUUUCUUAAUGCGAAUUUGAAAUGAGCGUAUCGCAAUAUACUUCGUUCUUCUAAAUUUCUAUCACGAAUUCAACAACGUAUAUAUAUAUAUAUAUAUAUAUAUAUAUAUAUAUAUAUAUAUAUAUAUAUAUAUAUAUAUAUAUAUAUAUAUAAUAAUAUAUAUAUAUAUAUAUUACUGCGCUUUCGAAUUUACUUGAGCUCUUGAAGCUCGGGGGAAAAUGUUUUCUUACAAAAAUUUAUGUAUUGACUAAUAACAAUAUACAUAUAUUUAAAAACAA